GAGAGAGGCUCGAACGCUACGACGGUUGCUACCCUUCGUCCCCUUGGUUAAACCCCAAGGCUCACUCG
rnacentral:tRNA from 1 species